ensembl:lncRNA
CAAGAACAUGAAACAAAACUUUGCAUUAUUCAAGACAAAUAAACAGAAGGUCUGAUGGCUGUCUGCCAUCUGAGUUGAACAAUAUGAAAAGCUUCCAGUACGUCUGCACCAUACAGACUGUAGUCUUGGUAAUGAAUCACCACAAUCAUAGCACAAACAGAUUCAUCGGCUUAAAUUAGCGAACUGACGCACAGGGCCAAUAUCAAAGCAUUACUGAUGUACUGACGUAAUAUGUCAAUGCGCCACAGACCUUGAGGCACAUUUUACAACAAACGCUUUGCAAAUGUGUUUAAGGUUUGGUAAAGUGCCAACCCUGUGCUACUAUCACAGUGAAAUAUCUUGAUUUCGGUUACACAACUAUGAUGCGAUAUCACUCUGUUUUUUAAACUCAGCAAAUCAGAAGAGAAGACCAAAUAGAAGGUAAACACAUCUCAAUUAGAAACAUUCCUUCGCAGCUGCUUGUCACAAGGCCAUCCAGCCUGAUGCCAUUCUGUAAGUAUUGAUUAGAUAUUGACUUACCAUUCACUGCUUCUCUUGACAGCACUCACAGCACUGAACAAUACAACGGAAUGGACCAGAAACAGAGGAACGCAAGUUUUCCUCCCCCCCACACACACACCCAUCUCACAGGACCACAGGGAUCUAGAUGACUCAAAGAGCUAAAGAGAGCCAAAGGCCAACGGAACGGAACGAUUCAUGAGGCGCUGACUCACAAACCACUGCUUCCUCUCCACCACAUGCCUCUCAUAACUGCGCAGAUGACUGGUCAAGUUCCCACAGCACUGCAUGGGAGGGCAGUGAGGGGCCAGAGCUCAGAGGAGACACAUACUGACCCCUGACAGACAUCAGAGAGAGUGUGUGGGAGAGAGAGAUUGCAUUAAAGUAAACCGACAGAAACCAACCCAUGACAAGAAUGCAGAAUCAGUUCAGUGAUCUCCAACUAGAGCAGAUCUUCAGUUCAGCUGGAUCUCAACAAAACAAUGAAGCACACAUUGAUCAGCACAUCACAGUCAGGCAGAGAUCCGCAGAAGUGAAACCCUCGCUCCCUUUCCAGUUGUGUUUGGCUUGGUGUGGAGACCAUGUUGGAUUUACGUGGCAAAU